UACGUAGGGUGCGAGCGUUAAUCGGAAUUACUGGGCGUAAAGCGUGCGCAGGCGGUUUGUUAAGCCAGAUGUGAAAUCCCAGAGCUUAACUUUGGAACUGCAUUUUUAACUGCCGAGCUAGAGUAUGUCAGAGGGGGGUAGAAUUCCACGUGUAGCAGUGAAAUGCGUAGAGAUGUGGAGGAAUACCGAUGGCGAAGGCAGCCCCCUGGGAUAAUACUGACGCUCAUGCACGAAAGCGUGGGGAGCAAACAGG
rnacentral:rRNA from 1 species